rnacentral:rRNA from 1 species
AUUUGCUAUCUGGAGAUGGGGAGAUAGUGGCGAAAUACUUUUCGCACUGGUUGAUAGCUGGUUAUUCCGGAAAUAUAUCUAAGUAUAGCUCUUCGGUUGAUGGGGUUUACAGUUUAAUAAUUCUAAUAGUAUUUAGGGUGUUCUAUCGAAGGAGUCAGCCCCCUCAGGCUAAGCUGAGGGGGCUAUUUUAAAGGAUGGUUAACUAAGAAUGGAAAGGCUAAGAAGUGGGCUUGAAGGAGUUAUCUUUACAGAGUGGGUUAAACCACAAAUGGGCCUUGUACAAUAAAUCAAAUUUUACCUAUCUUUGUGUUGUACGGAAUCUCUUUUUGAAACAAUAGUCAUAGAGGUGAUAAUGUAAAGAUGAGUAGUCGAGAAGUUGUAAGUGUUUUAAGGUCGGGGAGAGAAACGUAAAGGUAUGUUCCGUAUCUUUAAAAAAAGCUAAAGGAACUCGGCAAAUAAGGGGACCGCCUGUUUAUCAAAAACAUGGCUCCCUGAGCAAUAUUGGGGGUCGUGCCUUCCCGGUGAGCUUGC